rnacentral:lncRNA from 1 species
UCGUUCAAACAAGGGCUUAGCGUUCCAAAAAAUGAGGGCAAAACAUAGCACGAGUCAAACAACUCCAAAAAAUCUCUUAUAAGAAUUCAUAUUCUCGCCUAUUAUUCAGAAUUCAGACUAGCUUUUCUGGCGCCCUUAUUCCGUCUACCACCCACAUCAUUACUCUGAGCCUGACCCAAUUUCGUCUAAUGGCAUCUUGAUCAGGUAAACUCCGGUCUACUGUUUUUGUCCAUUUUUCUUAAUUUAAAGAUUCAGUUCUUCUGAUAUUUGUUUCUUUAUGUCAUUUUGAGAAGGAAUAAUUGCUUCCUUGAGUCGAAAUCCAAAUAUUUUACUGCUGAAAGCCAGUAACUGUAUACUAUGUUUAGAGGUUCAAGAUUUUGACUUAUCUUAGUUUUUGAUCUUUUCAUGAUUGUAAAUUGCUUUUCGAGUGAUGUUGUGGGUUUUUUUUUAUUUCUCAGAUAGUGUUUGAGAAUUUUUGCUGGAAUAGUAAUUGAGAAAUUUACACCCAGUUCCCCCAUUUUCUUUCAUUUUUUUCCAAAUCUUAUUUUCUAUUGCGCAAUCUUUUUCAUUCCUUUUCAACAACGCAUUUUCCAAAAAAAUAUUAUUCCAAACAUUAAAAUUUAGAAAAAAUGGGGGCUUAACGGGUGCUUAAUUUCAGUUUUUAUUGGGGUUUGAUCUUUCUUGAAUGGAAGUUGUUUGUUGAGGUCUAGAUUGAUUGAACUCAAAGUGAUGUUUGUGGGUUGUUUCUACAGAACGGCAUAUUAUUUGAGAUUUUUUUUUUUUUUUUUUUUUUUUUCUUUUUCCAGUGGUGAUAGGGACAUAAUUUUUUGGACCUUGGGUCAAAGAGGAGAACAUGGAAAUUCCUUCAAUUUCACUGAGUUUUGAGUCACUUGUUCGGUUGUUCCUUUCACCUUAAAGAGGGUGGAAGAUAAUAGUUACUGUGUUCUACUGGUACUUCUGGAACACAGAUAGUUAAGAUUAGUGAUGAUUUGAAAUUCAUAAACCCCUUAGACGUAGAUCUUGGAUUAACUACACCCAGUUAAAUAACAAGUCGGGUGAUGCUAUCAGCUGGUUAAAUUUUGGUUUAGUACGAGUGAGUAUUACCCAAAAAAUAUAUUCUUUGAAUGUUGCGAGAUCAAUUUCCUUCCCCACUAUCACACAACACCUAUUGGCCAAAUUUUAUGACAGUAGCUAAAAUGCAGAAAAUGUAAAGAAUAAGAACACCAAAAAUGAUCACCCAAUCCACCCAAAUAAGGGCUCAGGAUCAGUCCAAUCCACUGUGUAAAACCAACCUUCCAAAGAGAUCAAUGUACAAAGGAACCAAUCAGACUUUCUCUUAAGGUUCUAAAGAUAGAUUACACAAAGAUCUCAAGAACCAAAUACAAAAAUCAACCCUAAACUUGACAAGAACAAACACAGCUAAACCAGUGCACCACGGUCAAAAAACAAUUGACCGAAACCUUUCUUUCAAGUCUAUAACACAAGGGUUAUACAAUUCUUUUUAACCUCUCUAAUAAUCACAAUGAAACAUAAUAGAAAUUGGAAGAAUUUCAGAGAGAGAGAGACAGAGAGACGCCUUUCAAAAAUCUCUAGAAAGAAUGAGAACUCAAGCCACUAAAAACGGGUAGCACAAGAGUCAUAAAAGCCAUGUAUAAUCAAGAUUGAAUCCCAGCCACACAUUAUGAUUCAAUGCCUCACAAUGGAGUUGAAGAAGCACAAUCCUCAUUUUAGUAAAAUAACCAAUUGGUGGUUGCCAUUUGGCCCUCCAAACCAAUUAAAAAGGCAAAGUAGCACUUCUUUUAAAUAAAUCCAAAGUUUCCAAUUUAGUGAAACACGCCUUUUACACUUUCAAUCUUCACCUUGUUUCACUAAAUACAUCGACUCUCUUAGUUGCAUGGUUUACAUAGUAAGACUGAUCAUCAUCACUGCCCGGUACCUGCAAAAGAAUUAUCCAUUUUCAAUAUACGGAAUUGAUAAACCAAAAUUUAAACAUACUAGUUGAAAGCAUUUUAAGUCUCAUAUCAAAUGGACAUACAUCAACAUGAAUUUUCUCAAGAUUUAACUUCACCUGAAGCUGUCUUAUCCGUUUAGAAGAUGAUACUUCACCUUAACAUAUGUUUACCUCUAUAAUGAGCAAAAUUUAUAAUAACCAACAAUGCAAUUUUACUAACAAUGAGAGUAAUGCAAGUAUCAUACACAAACUUUCCGAUACAGAAAGAGAGAGAAAAAUCGCCUACCAAAAGACUUUUUUUCGAUCUCCAUUCUCUAACGAAUAUAUCUUUUUCUUGUUCCAAUCCAAUUAGGUGACUAUAAGGAUGAGGUUGAUUGUGAUGUCUUACCCAUGGAUGUAGCUCAUAUCCUUCUAGGACGCCCUUGGCUUUAGAAUGGAAAAUAUAAUCAAAAUUCAUGAGGCCUAGAAAAAUCUUGAAAACAGGAAGCAUCUGGGCACCGUUGAAAGAGUAUCGCAGGUUCAGGCAAGCACCCAACCUAUACAAGGUGCUGGUGUUCUCCUUUACUAAGUAAUUCAAAAUACACAAAAUCCCUUUCAACCAAAUCCAUUCUUUCACAUUUCUCAUAUUUAUGCAGUCAUUUUCCAACGUAAAGAAGUAGGUAAUAAUGGAUUUCCUGUGAUCUUUGCCACGCACAAAGUCAACAUCCACACAUCCUUUAAGGAUCAACCUAUUAAACCUUUUCAAUUUACAAACAAUGUCCUUCACCUCAAAGUCUAAUGGUUGACUCAUAUGGAUAUUUUCCUUCAAUUCCCAAUGUAGGAAAGCAGUUUUAACAUCUAGUGAUUCAAGUUCCCAAAUGAAUUGAACUACUAAUGCUAAAAACAAUCUAAUUAUUUUAUAUUCAAUGACAAGGGAAAAUAUCUCAAUAUAGUCAAACCUCUCUUUUAGUGUGUAAAUCCACUUGCAUUUUACUAUUCUUUGACCAUUAGGCAAAUUAACCAAACUCCCUCUAUCCCUAACCAAUUUGUAAUGUUGGAUAGAAUUCUCUUCAAUUAUCGGGGUGUUCGUUUCCGUUUCAUUUUCACCAUGAGGUACAUCAACCUCAUCAAUUACAGGUUCAUUCUCAUCGGAAUGAGUGAAGUCAUAUUUUGCCAACUUCACCUUAUUCUGAAAUUUCUUGUGACAUCCAAUUUCCUCAGAAUCAUCAUGUUGUCUGAAUUUUAAACAAGGCAUUUAAGAUUCAUUAAACAUAACAUCCUUGCUGUUAAUGAUCGUAAUACCAAGUUCCCCUAAAUCCACAACCUGUAAUCUCUAACCCCUUUAGGAUAGCCUAGCAUAACACAUCUAAUAUCCCUAGGCACCAACUUGCCCUCAGUUUGGCGUGGAUACGCCACACACCCAAACAGUCUAAUAUGUGUUAAAUUUGGUGGCUUCCCUGUCCAUAGUUCUUGAGGAGUCUUAAACUCGACAACUAGAUAGAGAUCUAUUCAUCAAAUAUGUUGUUGUGCAUAAUGCCUCAGCCCAAAACCCUUUAGCAAGUCCUAAAUUGACUAACAUGCACCUAGCCUUAUUCAUCAAAGUUUUAUUCAUUCUUUUUGCCACCCCAUCUUGUCUCAUGACUUUUAGUGUAUUAUUUUUAGAUUUAAAGUCAUGUCCUUCAUUCUCAAGGAUUCCCAAAGAUAUGAGAUUCCUUUUAAGAUUAGGAACAUACCUAACAUUUCUUAAUUGCCUGAUAAUACCGUCAGGCAUCUUGAUGGCUAUGUCCCCAAUACCAUUGAUAGUAUGAGAAUUAUUAUCACCCAUAUAAACAUUACUAGGUUCAACUUCCCUAUAGUUAUAAAACCAUGAGCUGACGGGACAUAUGGAAUAUGCACCCUGAAUCUAAAAUCCAGUCUCGACUAAUAUCUUCACAAGAUACAGUCAUAACAUACAAGCUGUCCAAGUCAUGUCCAACAGCAAUAUUGUUCGAUUCCAUAUCGUUUUGAUCAUUUUUCUUCAUUUUCCACUCAAAGCGAUCUCUCUUAAAGUGCGCUAGCUCCCUACUGCCAUAACAAUUCUUGUUACUUUUAUCUUGGGAUAUAGAUCUCUCCUUUGAUUUUCCUUUCACUUUCCUCACCUGAAAGUCAUUCUCUCUUUUUUCACUUCUUCCUCUUACAAACAUAAUUUCUUCCCUAGCCUCUCUUGAUUCCCUUUUAACUUCUAAAUCUCUCGAUUUUAAGGCAUCUAUUACAACUGCUUGCGAUAAUUUGUCCUUUGAGUAUUUUAUUGCAUUUCUCACAUCCUUAUAAGAGUCAGGCAAAGAAUUCAAUAAGAUGAUAGCCAAAUCCUCAUCAUCAAAUUUCUUAUCAUCAUGUGCAAGACUCUUCACGAUUAUACUAAAAUCACUUAGAUUCACUUCUAAGUCCUUUCUCGGGUCCAUCCUAAAACUAAACAAUUUCUCCAAAAGAUAAAUUUUAUUUGGCAAUGUUUUAGUUAGGAAUAAAGCAUCAAGUGUAGUCCAUAAAUCCCUAGCAUUCUUAGCUUCAUCAACUUGUCUAACAAUAUCAUCAGACAAAUGCAAAAUUAUAGAGCUGAAUGCAAUCUCAUUCAUUUCCUCAAUUUCAGCAAGUUUAGAAUUUAAUUCAACAGAAAAUGUUUCAGGAUCAUCAAGGGCUUUAGCAACCCUUUGUUGGACUAAAAUAGCCCUCAUUUUCUGCUUUCAUAUCGAGUAAUCCACUUUCCAUCGAAUUGAGAUAGUUCUACGCUUGAACCCAUAACAGAUUCAAUGGAAGGGUGAUUUGAACUCGAGGCCAUUUGGUAAUCUUGGAUUCCCAAAAAUAAGCAGAAAAAGUUUUUGAAAAAAACACUCAGAUUUUACAGAUCAGUUAAGAAACAGUUUCAGAAUUAAACAGAUGAAAUGAACAGUCAGAUUACUGUGAAUUGUGUGUGCUGCAGGCAUGUAUGAUAAUCAGCAAUAACAAGUAAUUCAUCAAUUAAAAGUUAUGCAGUCCAGAUAUGUGUAAUACUCAGCAAUAACAUGUAAUUCGUCAAUUAACAGUUAUGCAGUCCAGAUUACAUUAUAUAUCAAUAUAGCAUGUAGCAACAAAUUCCAAUUUGCAUUAAACAGUAAGAAACCAGUAUGAGAUUUUAAAUUGAGUUCAAGAAAUUUAAACGAUCUCACUAAAAUUGUUGAAUAAUAGUUUAAUACUUCUGAAUCCAAUUUCUUAUCAAGAAGCUAAGAGUCUAGCAAGUCCACCUCAAAUUUAGUGGAACCAAAAUAGUAAUUCAACCUGAAACACUUGAUCAAACAAUAUCGGUAGGCUCUUUGAAAGAAAAUAUAAUAUCAAAUAUCUUUACCAGACCUGUCUGCAAAAUCCACCGGUGUGCACCUCGGAGAUUUAGCCAGAUCCAAUUUCAAGAACCUCAGUAUAUGACCCAAGAGAAAUGUUCGCAAUUAAUUUUUUCACAAAUUACAAAUCACUUGAAAAAAAAAAUUCACCAAGGACGAUUGUCAAUUAAUAUUUUUUUAGAAAUCGCAAAAAUACUCAAGAACUCUAAUGCAAGCUCUGAUACCAGUUUUGUUGGGAUUAUUGGUCCCAGAUUUGAUUUUAUCUCAAUGAUCUUAUAUUUUCAGACACUCAGUCAAACCAAAAAAUCAUCUAUCAUUCGACAAAAAACACGACAUCACAAACAGUAGCUAAAAUGCAGAAAAUGUAAAGAAUGAGAACACCAAAAAUGGUCACCCAGUUCACCCAAAUAAGGGCUAAUCUGGGGGGCUCAGGGUCAGCUCAAUGCAUUAUGUAAAACUAGCCUUCCAAAGAGAUCAAUGUACAAAGGAACCAAUCUGACUUUCUCUUAAGGUUCUAAUCAUAGAUCACACAAAGAUCUUAAGAACCAAAUACAAGAAUUAACCCUAAACUUGACAAGAACAAACACAGUUAAACUAGUGCACCACAGUCAAAAAACAAUGGACCGAAACCUUUCUUUCAAGUCUAUAACACAAGGGUUAUACAAUUCUUUUUAACCUCUCUAAUAAUCACAAUGAAACAUGAUAGAAAUUGGAAGGAUUUCAGAGAGAGAGACAGAGAGCCGCCUUUCAAAAAUCUCUAGAAAGAAUGAGAACUCAAGCCACUAAAAACGGGUAGCACAAGAGUCAUAGAAGCCAUGUGUAAUCAAGAUUGAAUCCCUGCCACACAUUAUGAUCCAAUGCCUCACAAUGGAGUUGAAGAAGCACAAUCCUCAUUUUAGUAAAAUAACCAAUUGUUGGUUGCCAUGUGGCCCUCCAAACCAAUUAAAAAGGCAAAGUAGCACUUCUUUUAAAUAACUCCAAAGUUUCCAAUUUAGUGAAACAUGCCUUUUACACUUUCAAGGACGUUGAAAUUAAGUUCGCAAUCUUUGAUGGGAUAUAGGUCACGGAACCUACUCAUUAUCAUUGACCGUUGCUAUUUUUACACAAAUGCCUUUUUUUAAAAGGUUGAACCCCAACCUUGAGGGCCUCCACCUCACCGCCUCUGGAGUAUCGUAAGGGAGGUAAAUCGCAGGAUGUGCCCCAUCAGGCUAGGGAACAGGAGUUUGCUGGUACACUGGUGCCCACAAAAAGUUCAAAUGCCUUUUUUCUGAGUGGCCUCAAGGUUGAACUUAAUCUUUAUUAGGCUGCCAUAGUGAUAAGUUUUCACUUCCAAGGAUUCUGACUCAUUUUUUAAGAAAGUUUUACGGCUUUUAAUUAUAAAAUAGAUGACUAAUGUUAAAUGAUGUUUCAUGGAGUCAUGUUCUUGUCAUAUGUCUUUCUGUCCUUUUUUUAUUAAAGAUACGUGAAAUGGUGUUGUAAUGAAAUUCUUAAAUCUUGAGGCUUUGGUGGCUUGUGUAAUUCCUAUGUUUGGAAUGUCAUUUUCUGAGGUACAUCAAGUUAAAUGGACAAGAGUUGCUGUCAAAAAUUGGAUAAAAGGAAUAUGAAUUUACAUAUUUGUAUGGUUGUUUUUAAUUUAAUGUAGAUUGUGAUCCCGACUUUUAUAUGAAAUCCUGAUUAAGCUUUUGCAUUACAGAUAAAUCAGUUUUAUCUAAGUUCGUGAAUGAUAUGAAAAUAAUACAUGAUGGAAAAUUUUGGAGAAUUGGAAGAUUCUUGCUGAUUCUAAAAUUAGUGUUAAUGAUAUUCUUGGAGGAGUUAUUAUGCAUAGUAAAAAAGGUGAACUCAUAAUUGUUGUUGUCGAUUUUUGUCAUUAAAGAUAGUAUCAGAUUAUGCCAUUCAACUAUUAUUUGCAUUUUAGUUGUUAAUUCUCUGACAAUAUCCAACUUGAUGCUCUUAAUUCAAUUGGUAAUGAAGUUAUAGUUAUACUCACCUGGAACUGGAACGGUGCAUUGUUAGUCAUCCACCCUUUUAACAACCUUCGCGCAGAAAGUAGAGAGAAAAACGGCAAUAGGGUUGUUUGGCUAAGCUUCAAAAUAAUUAACAAUCUUUUUAUUGAUAAAAAUUGAAAGGAGGGUGCUACAUGUUACAGCUCAGUGUACAGUUUCCUCACAUGAGGGGCGAAGCCUGCGCAUUAAUUGGGUGUGGGUACACCGAGCCUUAGUACAAGGGGUAAAAUCCAAGUUGAAAAUAUUAAGUUUAAAGGAUAAGUUUUUUUUUCUCUCUCUCAGAAUAAGUGACUUUUUUACUUAAAAAGUAAGAAAAAGUCAAGGUAAACACAUUUGAAAAAGAAAAGUUAUUUGGUAAGUACUGAACACUCUCCGAACAUCUUAUCUUUGAGAAGUUUGAUAUGCCAUACCAUGGGAAUAGUUCUCAAACGUACUAUAGACCUAAUGUAAAAAUAUUGAUUUUCUUGAUUGGGAUGUUCAAUUUAGUUUUUCUAUUGCUCGUAAGAAAGUAUGGUCUUUUACAAUUUUUUUCAACUUAGUCUGGUGAUCGAUCACCUAGCCAAUUUCUAGGUCAACCAAUAUCUAAUGCAAGCUUCUCUCUUAUAGCCCUAACACUGUGUGCCUUUACUGUUGUCCUUGUUUUCGGGUUCAAUGCAUGUUAAAAUCAGGAAGAAGAGCAAGCCGAGACGACAUAUGGCUGCACCAUCCUUUAGAAUACAUGAUGUGGAUUAUGAAGGUCAUCACCGACUAUGAGGAAGCUCCAAGAAUUCUCUAGAAAAUUAGUGAUGAUUCCUUGCUAAUCAAUUCCUUAAUCCUUGAGCAUUCCUAGAAGAAUCUAGAAGAAACCAAUUGCUUGACAAUUGCCCACUGCCAUACUAGAAGAAUCAAGAAGGAGCAGCAAGUGACUCUCAUCAUUAAUGCAGUGGAAAAAUCUAGAAUGCAUCCCUGCUUAGAAGAUGCUAGAAGAAUCUAAUUACUAUCACCACUGUCAUUUAUGGGUGUCUCUAGAAUUUGGAUUAGCUUCACCAUGGUCAUACUAGAACCAUCCAUUAGCACCUGUAAAUAAAAGGAAGCUGUGUGCAUCAUGGAUGUAUGAAUGAUGAGAGAAAGUGUGUAAAGAUAAGUGAGAGUAAUUAGUACUCCGUUGAGUAUUAUUAGUGGUGUGUUUGUCUUAAAUUGUGUAAGUAAAUUUAUAUCAAUAAAAUCAUUUUCUUUUGGGAUUUAAACUCAACAAUUUGGUAUUAGAGCUCAGCAGAUUAAACCAAGUUCUCUCUUUACUGUCGUAAUUUUACUGCACAGAGUGAAAUUUCUGAUUAGCGUCAAUGAUUUCAAAGAUGUAGAAUCUGUCCUUUGAGCAAUGGUACAAAG